rnacentral:rRNA from 1 species
UACGAAGGGGGCUAGCGUUGUUCGGAAUUACUGGGCGUAAAGCGCACGUAGGCGGCUUUCCAAGUUGGAGGUGAAAUCCCCGGGCUUAACUCGGGAACUGCCUCCAAAACUGGACGGCUCGAGUCCGAGAGAGGUGAGUGGAAUUUCCAGUGUAGAGGUGAAAUUCGUAGAUAUUGGAAAGAACACCAGUGGCGAAGGCGGCUCACUGGCUCGGUACUGACGCUGAGGUGCGACAGCGUGGGGAGCAAACAGG